UGCAGUCUCACGGGCAGCAUGUCAGUGGCGGACGGGUGAGUAACGCGUAGGUAUCUAUCUCUGGGUGGGGGAUAACCGUGGGAAACUACGGCUAAUACCGCAUGAUGACUGAGGUCCAAAGGCGCAAGUCGCCUGGAGAGGAGCCUGCGUACGAUUAGCUUGUUGGUGGGGUAAAGGCCUACCAAGGCGACGAUCGUUAGCUGGUCUGAGAGGAUGAUCAGCCACAUUGGGACUGAGACACGGCCCAAACUCCUACGGGAGGCAGCAGUGGGGAAUAUUGGACAAUGGGCGAAAGCCUGAUCCAGCAAUGCCGCGUGUGUGAAGAAGGUCUUCGGAUUGUAAAGCACUUUCGACGGGGACGAUGAUGACGGUACCCGUAGAAGAAGCCCCGGCUAACUUCGUGCCAGCAGCCGCGGUAAUACGAAGGGGGCUAGCGUUGCUCGGAAUGACUGGGCGUAAAGGGCGCGUAGGCGGAUGGCACAGUCAGAUGUGAAAUUCCCGGGCUUAACCUGGGGGCUGCAUUUGAUACGUGUGAUCUAGAGUGAGGAAGAGGGUCGUGGAAUUCCCAGUGUAGAGGUGAAAUUCGUAGAUAUUGGGAAGAACACCGGUGGCGAAGGCGGCGACCUGGUCCUUUACUGACGCUGAGGCGCGAAAGCGUGGGGAGCAAACAGGAUUAGAUACCCUGGUAGUCCACGCUGUAAACGAUGUGUGCUGGAUGUGGGCGACCUAGUCGCUCAGUGUCGUAGCUAACGCGAUAGCACACCGCCUGGGGAGUACGGUCGCAUGGUUGAAACUCAAGGAU
rnacentral:rRNA from 1 species